rnacentral:tRNA from 1 species
UUAAGCAAAAUCAAAAAUUAGAUGUGCCCCUGUUAAUGGUAAUUAGGGAGCUACUCCCUGCUUAAG